rnacentral:rRNA from 1 species
UAGAUACCCUGGUAGUCCACGCCCUAAACGAUGCGAACUGGAUGUUGGGUGCAAUUUGGCACGCAGUAUCGAAGCUAACGCGUUAAGUUCGCCGCCUGGGGAGUACGGUCGCAAGACUGAAACUCAAAGGAAUUGACGGGGGCCCGCACAAGCGGUGGAGUAUGUGGUUUAAUUCGAUGCAACGCGAAGAACCUUACCUGGCCUUGACAUGUCGAGAACUUUCCAGAGAUGGAUUGGUGCCUUCGGGAAC